GAAUGCUGCAUCUGGCCACUACAUCUGUCACCACACUGAUUCCAGGGUUGAUUCAGCUGAUCUGGCUCUCUAGGCGGGUGUCUCCUUCCUCGAUGCUCCAUGUGUGUCCCCCUGCCCAAGCUACACGCUUGGUUGAAGAGGGCGACCACCCCUGCUAGGCAUGGAGACCAUUCCUGGGUUGUGGAUAUAGGAGUAGCUGCACUCCCCCUGCUAGAACCUCCAAACAAACUCUCAAGAACUCUGCAAAAAAAAAGAACUCUGCAGUCUCCUGGCUUUCCUAUUGACACAGCUAGACCUGCCCCUGUGGCUUU
rnacentral:snRNA from 1 species